UACGAAGGGGGCUAGCGUUGCUCGGAAUCACUGGGCGUAAAGGGCGCGUAGGCGGUCUUGUAAGUCUCGUGUGAAAUCCCUCGGCUUAACUGAGGAACUGCACGGGAUACUGCAUGACUUGAGAUCGGGAGAGGGAAGCGGAAUUCCGGGUGUAGCGGUGAAAUGCGUAGAUAUCUGGAGGAACACCGGUGGCGAAGGCGGCAUCCUGGACCGGUAUUGACGCUGAGGCGCGAAAGCCAGGGGAGCAAACGGG
rnacentral:rRNA from 1 species